rnacentral:misc_RNA from 1 species
GUUUCACCUGCGGAAAGAAAGUCGAUCUCUUUUAGGUUGAGUGAAGAGAUCGAAUUCUGUUUAACAUUAGGGUUUGGGGGAGCAUCUCGAAGAAGGAACUGUCCCUCUGCCAUAUUUUGCGAGGUUAAGGUAAGAUUCUUCUGUAAAAUUUGAUCGAAUUGUUUCAUUAAAUUUGAAUGGAAUGCCAAUUCCAUUAACACAUAAACAUUUAUUUGCAUGAAUUUCAGAGAGAUUUAGCAAGAAAUAAGCAAUGGAGGAUGUGAAACAUAAAUCUAGGAAGGAAGAUUCGGAAAGGAAGGAGGAGGAUUCGAAGAGGAGUCACCGUGAUCGUGAUAAGGAGAGGAAUGGAGAGAGGAAUCGGGACAGAGAGAAAAGCCGACGUUCUGAGAGAGAGAAGAGUAUUGAUUCCGAUGACAAAUAUGAGAGAGAGCGGGACAAGCAUAGAAGGAGCCGAGAUGACGAAAGGGAAAGACCCAAGGAUAGGAAGAGAGAUAGAGAUCGGGACAGAGAUAGAGAUAGUGAAAGGGAGGAGAAAAGGGAGAGGGCGAGAGAGAAAGAGAGAGAUAAGAGGGAACGUGACAGAGAAGAACGUGAACGGGAGAGAGAUAGAGAGAGGGAGAGAAGGGAACGUGACAGAGAAGAACGAGAAAGGGAGAGGGAGAGGGAGAGG